AGACCCGAAACCCGGUGAUCUAGCCAUGGGCAGGUUGAAGGUUGGGUAACACUAACUGGAGGACCGAACCGACUAAUGUUGAAAAAUUAGCGGAUGACCUGUGGCUGGGGGUGAAAGGCCAAUCAAACCGGGAGAUAGCUGGUUCUCCCCGAAAGCUAUUUAGGUAGCGCCUCGUGAAUUCAUCUCCGGGGGUAGAGCACUGUUUCGGCUAGGGGGCCAUCCCGGCUUACCAACCCGAUGCAAACUGCGAAUACCGGAGAAUGUUAUCACGGGAGACACACGGCGGGUGCUAACGUCCGUCGUGAAGAGGGAAACAACCCAGACCGCCAGCUAAGGUCCCAAAGUCAUGGUUAAGUGGGAAACGAUGUGGGAAGGCCCAGACAGCCAGGAUGUUGGCUUAGAAGCAGCCAUCAUUUAAAGAAAGCGUAAUAGCUCACUGGUCGAGUCGGCCUGCGCGGAAGAUGUAACGGGGCUAAACCAUGCACCGAAGCUGCGGCAGCGACACUCAGGUGUUGUUGGGUAGGGGAGCGUUCUGUAAGCCUGUGAAGGUGGCCUGUGAGG
rnacentral:rRNA from 1 species